rnacentral:lncRNA from 10 species
AAAAAGCACAGGACUUAAGGAUGGAAGUCUAGAGUCAUCCAGGUGAUAUUGCUUUAGUCAAUCACUUAUCUGGACCUCAUCUGUAAUGCCCUCUCUAGUUCUCCAGCCCCGACAGUUUAGGAAUCCUUAUGAAUCUUCCUUUACAUAGGAUGUAUUCUCAGGUUAGGUAUUUGGUAAAAGUCUCCCCUUCUCUCUACAAAGUCAUAGAAUUCUCAUGAGUAGGUUCUUUGCCUUAUUCAACUUUAAAUUCCAAGAGCCACAGAGCCAAGCACAUGGUAAGCACUCAAGGUGUUUGCUGUUGCUGUUGCUUUGUUGUCACGGACAGUGGUGAUGGUGGUAGUAAUGGUGUAAAAGUUCCCCUGAGGUGGUGACUUCCAUGUGGGUUUUAUUGCAGAUAUGUAACUUGCUUUAGUUAUGCCUGACUGAGGAAAAUUCAGAGAUGAGUGUUUUGGGCCAGAUCUUCAGAAGGCAGCCUCCCAUUUAACAGGCACUUAUUUAUCAUGCUAACACUAUGUGGUUUGCCAUACCAACAUUGAGGAUCAUCUUGCUCAAGGUAAGUCUGAUGAAGCCUUUUU